AGGUUCCGUAGGUGAACAGCGGAAGGAUCAUUA
rnacentral:rRNA from 1 species